rnacentral:tRNA from 1 species
UCCCUGGGGGCUCAGAGGUUAAAGUAUCUGCCUCCAAUGCAGGAGACCCGGGUUCGAUCCCUGGGUCGGGAA